rnacentral:misc_RNA from 1 species
CUGAGGCCGCCAUCGCGCCGCCAUCAAUCACGGAUAGCAGGAAGGUGGCCGAGGAUCUCCACCACACCCUCCUCAUCCGGUGCCGCUGCUCUGUUCCUCAGUCCGCCCCCAUUUACCUCGCCUGACCUCGCAUGGAUUCCUGCUUGCUUCUCCCCAACUCCACGGCUGAUCCUCCAAACUCCAGGAGAGCGCGACGCGAUCCAAUUGAGGUCCAGGAGGUGGGGGUGCCUACGUGUUGUUCGUGUGUUCCCCCUUGUUUCCAACCCAAGCCUGGCCGCGCCACAGCUAGACGUCAUUGCGCGCCUGCACAGCGUCUUGGUGAGGUGGUCGAAGCAGCAGCAGCCGCCGCAGCUCGAUAAGUGCACACUGCUCUAG